UGAGAAUGUGGGCACCAGGAGGAGGAAAGGGCCAGGAGGACCAGCACCUGCAGCUGACUCUAUCCCAUCAUCACCAUGAGUUACCAUGACUACCUCAAACAUGAGAUCCACCAUCUCUCUGGGUCUUCGGCUGCCUGUCCUCAGUCUUGCCCAUGGGACCUGUGUGGUUUAUCCUAUGAGAAGAGAAGACUCUGCCCUCUGGUGUGGCACAACCUGCAAACCAGUAAUGAUUUACGCAAUGCAACAGAAAAGAAUAAAUCACAGGAGAAAGCUGCACGGGUGAGCACUUCCUGAGCUCUGAAUUCGGCGUCUGGGAUCUUUCUGAAUCUAGAAAUAAGCUACCUGGUUGUAGCUUACACCUGUCAGAUCCCAAGAAAAGCAGCCAGUUCUGAGAGUUUCAGGUCUCNAAACAAGAACAUUCAGAAGCACUCUGUAGGGAAGGAACUGUGUUCCCCUGAAGAUCAUCAGAAGCAUUCGCGGUGCAUGCAAACACUUGAAAGUACGCAUGUGGGAGCUCUUGGGUGUGCACAC